CCGCACAGCAAACACCCAAGCGAGCUCCGUAGCUCCCUUGGCAUGACCCUGUGCUAGAGUAAACUGUGCUUUACCCUCUGCAUUGGAAGGAACCUCUUUCCUUUUAUAUGUAUUCAAAAGGACAGUACAUGU